GGACAAUGGGGGAAACCCUGAUCCAGCAAUGCAGCGUGAGUGACGAAGGCCUUAGGGUUGUAAAACUCUUUCAUCGGUGAGGAUAAUGACAGUAGCCGAAGAAGAAGGACCGGCUAAUUCCGUGCCAGCAGCCGCGGUAAUACGGAAGGUCCUAGCGUUGUUCGGAAUUACUGGGCGUAAAGCGCAUGUAGGCGGAACAAAAAGUUAGAAGUGAAAUCCCUGGGCUCAACCUAGGAAUUGCUUUUAAAACUUUUGUUCUGGAAUUCAGGAGAGGAAAAUGGAAUUUCCAGUGUAGAGGUGAAAUUCGUAGAUAUUGGAAGGAACACCAGUGGCGAAGGCGAUUUUCUGGACUGAUAUUGACGCUGAGAUGCGAAGGCAUGGGUAGCAAACGGGAUUAGAUACCCCGGUAGUCCAUGCAGUAAACGAUGGGUGCUAGUCGUCGGACUUUUGUUCGGUGUCGUAGCUAACGCGUUAAGCACCCCGCCUGGGGAGUACGGUCGCAAGAUUAAAACUCAAAUAAAUUGACGGGGACCCGCACAAGCAGUGGAGCAUGUGGUUUAAUUCGACGCAACGCGAAGAACCUUACCAGCGUUUGACAUGGGAAGUGCCGGUUACAGAAUGGUAACCUUCAGUUCGGCUGGCUUCCACACAGGUGCUGCAUGGCUGUCGUCAGCUCGUGUCGUGAGAUGUUGGGUUAAGUCCCGCAACGAGCGCAACCCUUAUCGUUAGUUACUAACAGUUCGGCUGAGGACUCUAGCGAAACUGCCGGUGAUAAGCCGGAGGAAGGUGGGGAUGACGUCAAGUCCUCAUGGCCCUUAC
rnacentral:rRNA from 1 species